GACGAACGCUGGCGGCGUGCCUAAUACAUGCAAGUCGAGCGCAGGAAAUCGACGGAACCCUUCGGGGGGAAGUCGACGGAAUGAGCGGCGGACGGGUGAGUAACACGUAAAGAACCUGCCCUCAGGUCUGGGAUAACCACGAGAAAUCGGGGCUAAUACCGGAUGGGUCAUCGGACCGCAUGGUCCGAGGAUGAAAGGCGCUUCGGCGUCGCCUGGGGAUGGCUUUGCGGUGCAUUAGCUAGUUGGUGGGGUAAUGGCCCACCAAGGCGACGAGGCAUAGCCGACCUGAGAGGGUGAUCGGCCACACUGGGACUGAGACACGGCCCAGACUCCUACGGGAGGCAGCAGUAGGGAAUCUUCCACAAUGGACGAAAGUCUGAUGGAGCAACGCCGCGUGAACGAUGAAGGCCUUCGGGUCGUAAAGUUCUGUUGUAAGGGAAGAACAAGUGCCGCAGGCAAUGGCGGCACCUUGACGGUACCUUGCGAGAAAGCCACGGCUAACUACGUGCCAGCCGCCGCGGUAAUAC
rnacentral:rRNA from 1 species